GACGGGGAAAUCUGCCUACAUGCCAAUUAUAUGUUAGUGAGUGAUAGGGGAGGGGGUGGGGGAUGAGAGUGGAUCUAUCUUUCACUCGGAAUGCUAUUCUGUAGCCUGUUACAGACAAGAAGAGCGGAUGGUGCAGUGAAUGAAAAAAAUAGGUUAUCGUGCAAUAAUGUGGCAUCAGUGUUUACGUGUGUGAGUGUGGAAGAAGGCCAGAUACAGUGACAUGGAUUGCUGCCAGCCACGAGGCAUCUGUGCCCACUAGCUGGUGAAUCUGCCGCCAUAUUGGUCGCGUCAAGGUCGUUUCUCUCUCAGUAGGGAGCGGACGGUUGGACAAUACACGAUAUUCAUGAGUCCCGUGAAGCGUAUCCAUCCGUAUUCCCAUUCAAGACUCAAAAGAUGAUUUGUAUCGUAGCGUUGGUUAUGUAAAGAGCAUUAUUACGAGAUGAAACAACUGUGGAAUAAGAAUUAACUCAAAGUGGCAUCUUGAAAAAUAUUCUAGAUAGCGACAACAACUAUAGAAAUAAAACUUAAAAUACGUUACGUCUCACCAUUGUUGGCACCUUGCCAAAUCGGAGGACUUAAGAAAACAAGAAAAUGAAAUUAUUGUUCUCACUGGUAACUGGAAGAUUAGGAGGAAGAGGUCUCCACUAGCACCUGACCAUCCCAGGUCGCAUAAACACGACCUUAUAACCUAUCGAGAAGAACACAGAUGGGAAAACUCGAGAAGUUAGGUGUAAAGCUGUUGUUCUCACUGGUAACUGGAAGAUUAGGAGGAAGAGGUCUCCACUAGCACCUGACCAUCCCAGGUCGCAUAAAACACGACCUUAUAACCUAUCGAGAAGUACACAGAUGAGAAAACUCGAGAAGUUAGGUGUAAAGCUGUUGUUCUCACUGUUAACUAGAAGACUCGAGGAUAUUACGUGUUAAUAACCCCUGUUGGACUAAAAGACUCCAUCUGAUAAAGAAGCAAGAUGUAAAGAAUUGAAGAUGCUGUGGCAUUGCGCUCAUCUUCUGGUUAAGAGAUGGCUUUCUUGAUGGCAAGAGGUUCUUCCUCCCUGGAAUGAAGGAUAACGCGGAAUCCAAUUAAUUUAGACAGUUGUUGGUAAUGCUACUACUAUUGUAGGGAUUAUAGCGUUCCUUUAUUCUACUGCAGUGCCUCCUAGUGGCUGGUCCAACAUGUUCCCGAUUGCAUUUCGGGCACGUGAACUCGUAUACCACUAGUAAGGUGUUCAGUGGAUGGCCACAUAUUACAGUGCAACGCAGUCAAAUAACCGGAAGAUUCGAACUAAAAGCAUCAUUAUCAAAGAAGACACGGUCAAUUUGGGUAACAGCUGACGUAUUCUCUGUACAAGCGAUCCGAAACAGCGCCCGAUUAUUUCGAGUGGACCGAUAAGAACUGUGUGUGCAAGACGAAGAGCUGAACAGUAUAUGUGAUCUCCACUGGGAGUGUUUCUACCGUUCUGACAAGAAAGUUUCGGGAAAUAUCAUGAAACAUGACAUAGCAGCUGUUGACCAGUCAUUAAUCCACCGUAACUGACAGCAUAGCCAACCGCCACCGCGGUGUUUAACUAACUGUUCACAAACUGUUUCUUACUGAGAACUCAUUGUUUUAUAUCUUUUAGCCCCUUGACUACGUGCAAUUGAAAGAAAUAAAAUGUUGUUGUAGAA
rnacentral:lncRNA from 1 species